rnacentral:miRNA from 2 species
UGCCGAUUUCCCCCUCGGGCG